rnacentral:tRNA from 1 species
AAGGGAGACCUAAUUCAGGUAAAAGACGAAAAAAAAGUAGUCGCUACCAAGAAUCAAUCCCAAAAGGUCGGAGCGAGGCGAAAUUGGCUUUCAAACUAGGUUCUGGGUUCAAACAAGACCUGAAUCAGGAACAAGGGCUAUUAGCUCAGGUGGUUAGAGCGCACCCCUGAUAAGGGUGAGGUCCCUGGUUCGAGUCCAGGAUGGCCCACCUGCACAGGUGGCAAAAACAAGAGAAGCGAGGAAUCAGCACCUUAUCCUACUGACAUAGUAAGAGAGAAUGCUGGCUCUGAGUAAAGAGUCCAGAGGAACCUUGAAAACUGCAUAGAGCUAGGUGAAAAAGCCAAAAAAGAAGACCGCAAGGUCAAGCUAAUAAGGGCUAACGGUGGAUACCUAGGCAC